rnacentral:rRNA from 1 species
GAUGAACGCUGGCGGCGUGCCUAAUACAUGCAAGUCGAGCGAACAGACGAGGAGCUUGCUCCUCUGACGUUAGCGGCGGACGGGUGAGUAACACGUGGAUAACCUACCUAUAAGACUGGGAUAACUUCGGGAAACCGGAGCUAAUACCGGAUAAUAUCUUGAACCGCAUGGUUCAAUAGUGAAAGACGGUUUUGCUGUCACUUAUAGAUGGAUCCGCGCCGCAUUAGCUAGUUGGUAAGGUAACGGCUUACCAAGGCAACGAUGCGUAGCCGACCUGAGAGGGUGAUCGGCCACACUGGAACUGAGACACGGUCCAGACUCCUACGGGAGGCAGCAGUAGGGAAUCUUCCGCAAUGGGCGAAAGCCUGACGGAGCAACGCCGAGUGAGUGAUGAAGGUCUUCGGAUCGUAAAACUCUGUUAUUAGGGAAGAACAAAUGUGUAAGUAACUAUGCACGUCUUGACGGUACCUAAUCAGAAAGCCACGGCUAACUACGUG